UUGUUAUAUGUUAGGGCAAUGAUACUACUAAUUUUAAGGCUUAAAAUAUUUCUCUACCUUUUCAUUUACUCUUUAAAAGUCUUUUUAUGAUAAUGAGUGUUUUUGUUUAUGUGAUGAUACAUAAAUCUAUCAAGUGGGUUGUAUGGCUUUUCUUUGAGGUGGAUAAGUCAGAAUCCUGCCAAAUGUCAGGAAACUCAGACUGACUUAAAGAAAAGAGGAAUUUAAUCAUUUAUAAUAAAACUAGAUAAUAACUUAUAUUUGGACCUUGCAUAGACAUCUGAAUGAUUUUUACUAUAUUAAUUUGUAUAUAUUAAGCUAUAUGCCUAUGCAUUCUUACACAUACAUAAUUAUAUGUAUAUGUAUGUAUAUUAUACAUAUUAAAUAAUUUAAUUAACCCAGGUACCUUCACUACUUCCAUUUGUAGAUUAGGAAGAGGUUGAUGACACAAUUAACUCAUAGCAAAUCUGCUUUGCACUUGAGCAGUCCAGGGCUUGCCCACUGUUCUCCCACAGUACCUUAUUUCGAUUAAGACCAGGCAAACUUGAUGCUUCCAUGGUAUCAGGACUCAGGUGUCUUUCUACUUCCUUCUCUUAGUGGCUCCAAGAAAGCACAUUUCUUUUCUUCAGGCUUUUCAUUGAUUUUUUUUUUUUUUUGGAGGAGGGGGUAACACUCCCUGGCCCCAGUAGAUUUUUCAUCUAUUUCUAUAAGAGAAAAUGUCUCAUGUCUAAAGACUAAGACCAUAGUUCAUUGGACCCGAGUUAUAAGCCAUUGCUAGAAUAGCUGGGGAGUGCAAGGCCUUGAACUGUGUGGACUCACAGUGGAAGAGGAAAAAGGGUUCAGAGUGCAGAAGAAGGCAGUUACUGGGCUAGCAGAAUGAAAGCUGCCACCAAGGGACUUCCAGGAGGCCGUCUCCUCAGGGUUAUAGAAGCAACCACAUAUUUAAUCAUUAACCAUUUAAUAUUUUAAAAUUCUCAUCAAAUUAAUGUACCCAUUACUUUUUAAAAAAUCAAAUAUUAGUAAGAAAUACUUAGCAGUGUCCUUUCCUGUCCUCCCAACCUCUAACUUUGAUUUACAGUGGCAACUCUUACUAACCUCAAGAUUUCUUAAAAUUAUGUUUCUACAGCUAUUUAUUGACUUCCCUGUCAAUACAUAUUUGAAAGUGGUAGACAAGCACACAGGCCAUUCACACUCAUCUCUUUAGUACCCAUCCCACGCUAAGUUCAGCUGCUGAGUGUGUGUAUAUGGAUACCCGCAAGUGCCUCCAGAUCAAGUUGCUGAAUGGCUUAUGUCAUUCUAGACACUGAUCUGUCCUCCUGUUUUUCUAGUUCUUUGUCUUUUUUGUGUUCAAGCCUUUUAAUUCCCUUGGUGUUGAUUCUGUUAAGAGAGCUUUCCCCACUUGCCAAUUACUUAUUGGUCAUUUUGUUUGUUUCCUUUAGGGACUUGUCUCUUAAAGUCAGUCGGGCGUCUUUGUGUGACUUGUGGUUGCCUUGCUUUAUAGAAGCUUUUGUAUGUAAACAUAUUCCUCUGUUGUCAUAUUUUGUUUUUAUUUUCUCCCUUGAUUAUGCCACCAUGCCAAGCAAUACAUGCAUCACCUUAAGGGAGCCUUAAAUAUCACGCUUUCUCGGAUUUUUUGUGAAGCUGUAAGGAUUUUGCUGUUUGUCUGCUUUGCUCUUCUGUGAAGAUAUCAUUCUUGUGUGUCCUGUCCAUGAUAGAAACUUUAUAAUUAGGAGGUUGAACUGUGUAGGAUUUCCAUUUUAAUAAGUCAUCCAGAUAGUGAUAGACUCGGGUGGUUCUUUCCAGUGUCAAUUGAGUGAAAUGG
rnacentral:lncRNA from 1 species